UACGUAGGGGGCGAGCGUUGUCCGGAUUUAUUGGGCGUAAAGCGCGUGUAGGCGGCCAUGUAGGUCUGACGUGAAAUUCCGAGGCUCAACCUCGGCAGGUCGUUGGAAACCAUAUGGCUAGGGUCCGGAAGAGGAGAGUGGAAUUCCUGGUGUAGCGGUGAAUGCGCAGAUAUCGGGAAGAACACCCGUGGCUAAGGCGGCUCUCUAGUACGGUACUGACGCUGAGACGCGAAAGCGUGGGGAGCGAACAGG
rnacentral:rRNA from 1 species